AUACGUAGGGGGCGAGCGUUGUCCGGAAUGAUUGGGCGUAAAGGGCGCGUAGGCGGCGCGGUAAGUCUGGAGUGAAAGUCCUGCUUUCAAGGUGGGAAUUGCUUUGGAUACUGCCGCGCUUGAGUGCAGGAGAGGUUAUCGGAAUUCCCGGUGUAGCGGUGAAAUGCGUAGAGAUCGGGAGGAACACCAGUGGCGAAGGCGGGUAACUGGACUGCAACUGACGCUGAGGCGCGAAAGUGUGGGGAGCAAACAGGAUUAGAUACCCUGGUAGUCCACACUGUAAACGAUGAAUGCUAGGUGUAGGGGGUAUCGACCCCUUCUGUGCCGCAGUCAACGCAAUAAGCAUUCCGCCUGGGGAGUACGGCCGCAAGGUUGAAACUCAAAUGAAUUGACGGGG
rnacentral:rRNA from 1 species